UACGUAGGUGGCGAGCGUUGUCCGGAUUUACUGGGCGUAAAGAGCGCGCAGGCGGUCGUGCAAGUCGCGUGUGGAAGCCCCCGGCUCAACUGGGGAGGGUCACGCGAUACUGUUCGACUCGAAGGCAGGAGAGGGAAGCGGAAUUCCCGGUGUAGUGGUGAAAUGCGUAGAUAUCGGGAGGAACACCAGUGGCGAAGGCGGCUUCCUGGCCUGUUCUUGACGCUGAGGCACGAAAGCGUGGGGAGCAAACAGG
rnacentral:rRNA from 1 species